rnacentral:misc_RNA from 1 species
UUGCCUUUCAGUUCUAGCAAAUCUUGUCUGUACAUUAGGUAUUGACAUCUAGGCGUUGUUAGUCGCAGUAAAAAUUGGAAGACCUACACUUGUUUUUGUGGAAUCGAAUUCUUCUAUUUCAUAAUAAGCAUCAACGCAUUUAGCAUAAAUUUGAAAUCAUUUGAUUGUCAAUGUCCAAGAUUAAUGAGCGUUUCUCCUUUCGUUUAGCAACAAGCAUAGUUUUAAAACCCUAGAACGGGGACCUGGCUAAUUAAUGCUGCUAUAGAGAAAACCUUUUGGAUUUUUGGAUGCUUCUUGGUGGUUGCAAUACUUCUCAUCGUCUU